CUGGCUCAGGAUGAACGCUAGCUACAGGCUUAACACAUGCAAGUCGAGGGGCAGCAGAUCGAAAGCUGCUUUGAUGCUGGCGACCGGCGCACGGGUGAGUAACGCGUAUCCAACCUUCCCUAUAGUAGAGAAUAGCCCGGCGAAAGUCGGAUUAAUGCUCUAUGUUGUAUUUAGAAGACAUCUGAAGAAUACCAAAGGUUUACCGCUAUAGGAUGGGGAUGCGUCUGAUUAGGUUGUUGGCGGGGUAACGGCCCACCAAGCCUACGAUCAGUAGGGGUUCUGAGAGGAAGGUCCCCCACAUUGGAACUGAGACACGGUCCAAACUCCUACGGGAGGCAGCAGUGAGGAAUAUUGGUCAAUGGACGAAAGUCUGAACCAGCCAAGUAAGCGUGCAGGAUGACGGCCCUAUGGGUUGUAAACUGCUUUUAUACAGGGAUAAAGUGAGGGACGUGUCCCUUUUUGUAGGUACUGUAUGAAUAAGGACCGGCUAAUUCCGUGCCAGCCGCCGC
rnacentral:rRNA from 1 species